AUUCAUGACUGGUGUUAAGUCGGAACAAGGUAACCGUAGGGGAACCUGCGGUUGGAUCACCUCCUUACCUUAAAGAA
rnacentral:rRNA from 1 species